CAUAGAGGGUGCCAGGCCCGUAUAACGUUAAUGAUUAUUAGAAGUUGGUUUCCAAAGAGUCGUGUUGCUUGAUAGUGCAGCACUAAGUUGGUGGUAAACUCCAUCUAAAACUAAAUAUAACCAUGAGACCGAUAGCAAACAAGUACCGUGAGGGAAAGUUGAAAAGAACUCUGAAUAGAGAGUUAAAUAGUACGUGAAACUGCUUAGAGGUUAAGCCCGAUGAACCUGAAUAUUCAUUAUGGAAAAUUCAAUAUUAAAAUUGUGAAUGUAAAUUUAAGAGUAUGUUUUUUAAUAUUAAUUUAUUAAAAUUGCAUAAUUUUUUUAUUUAACAUUCAUAAUGAAAGUAUGCAUUUUUUCCAUAAAAUGAACAUUGUAAUCUAUUAACAUAUAGACAAAAAAAUUUAUCAAAAAAUCAUUAACCAUUUUAGUUCAUAAACAUUAUAUGAAUAAUAUAACUGUAUAUGAGGGUUUUUGAUUUGAUAAAGUGUUGAUAGAUUAAUUAAUAUUAUGUAAUGCUUUUAAUUCAAAAUUUAUUUUGAAUUAUACAAUUUUUAAUUGAGAUUUUUUUCUCAUUUAUAACAUUGUAUGCAUUCACAUGAUUUACAAUGCGAAAGAUUCAGGAUACCUUCGGGACCCGUCUUGAAACACGGACCAAGGAGUCUAACAUAUAUGCAAGUCAUUGGGAUUUUUUAAAACAAAACCUAAUGGCAUAAAUAACUUAGCUGGUGUAUAUGUAUAUAUUAUUUAUAAUAUAUGUGUAUACAUAAAUGGGAUUAGUUUGUGUUGUUUUUUAUUAAUUUAAUAAAUGAUGUACAAACACAAUCCCGGGGCGUUCUAUAUAGUUAUGUUAAUUUGAAUGGAAUUUUUAAUUUUAUUCAUUUUUAACCUCUAACUGGAACGUACCUUGAGCAUAUAUGCUGUGACCCGAAAGAUGGUGAACUAUACUUGAUCAGGUUGAAGUCAGGGGAAACCCUGAUGGAAGACCGAAACAGUUCUGACGUGCAAAUCGAUUGUCAGAAUUGAGUAUAGGGGCGAAAGACCAAUCGAACCAUCUAGUAGCUGGUUCCCUCCGAAGUUUCCCUCAGGAUAGCUGGUGCAUUUCAUAAUUAUGCUAAAUAAUCUUAUCUGGUAAAGCGAAUGAUUAGAGGCAUUAGGAUCUAAGAGAUCUUAACCUAUUCUCAAACUUUAAAUGGGUAAGAACCUUAACUUUCUUGAUAUGAAGUUUAAGGUUAUGAUAUAAUGUGCCCAGUGGGCCACUUUUGGUAAGCAGAACUGGCGCUGUGGGAUGAACCAAACGCAAUGUUACGGUGCCCAAAUUAACAACUCAUGCAGAUACCAUGAAAGGCGUUGGUUGCUUAAAACAGCAGGACGGUGGACAUGGAAGUCGUAAUCCGCUAAGGAGUGUGUAACAACUCACCUGCCGAAGCAACUAGCCCUUAAAAUGGAUGGCGCUUAAGUUGUAUACCUAUACAUUACCGCUAAAGUAAAUGAUUUAUAUUAUWAUAUAUUUAUAUUAUAAUAUAAAUUUUGAAACUUUAGUGAGUAGGAGGGUACGAUGAUGUGCUUAGAAGUGUUUGGCGUAAGCCUGCAUGGAGCCGUCAUUGGUACAGAUCUUGGUGGUAGUAGCAAAUAAUCGAAUGAGACCUUGGAGGACUGAAGUGGAGAAGGGUUUCGUGUGAACAGUGGUUGAUCACGAGUUAGUCGGUCCUAAGUUCAAGGCUAAAGCCGAAAAUUUUCAAGUAUAAGUAUAAAAAUAUUAUUAUUAUACACUUGAUUAUUUUUGAACGAAAGGGAAUACGGUUCCAAUUCCGUAACCUGUUGAGUAUACGUUUGUUAUUAAAUAUGGGCCUUGUGCUCAUCCUGGCAACAGGAACGACCAUAAAGAGUAGCCGUCGAGAGAUAUCGGAAGAGUUUUCUUUUCUGUUUUAUAACCGCAUUACCAUGGAAGUCUUUAGAAGAGAGAUAUGGUAAAUUGGUUAGAAGAGCAUGACAUUUACUGUUGUGUCGAUAUUUUCUCCUCGGACCUUGAAAAUUUAUGGUGGGGUCACGCAAACUUCUCAACAGGCCGUACCAAUAUCCGCAGCUGGUCUCCAAGGUGAAGAGUCUCUAGUCGAUAGAAUAAUGUAGGUAAGGGAAGUCGGCAAAUUAGAUCCGUAACUUCGGAAAAAGGAUUGGCUCUGAAGAUUGAGAUAAUCGGGCUUGAUUCGGAAGCAAUAAUAUGGUUUAUGUGCUCGUUCUGGGUAAAUAGGUUAUUCUCUUUUUAAGAUGUUGUUCCUUUCAUUUAUAAUUGAAGGGGUGAAUGUGUGGGCUCUCUCACGGGGGUUCCGCGUUUCCUUUUAUAUUAUUUUUGAUUGGGCUCUCUUUUAAAGAGGAUUUUCGUUCCCCGGAUAGUUUAGUUACGUAACCAAUUGUGGAACUUUCUUGCUAAAAUUUUAUAAAGUUAAUCUAUAGGAUUUCGGAAUGUCCGUAUGUAUAUAUGCAGUUGGUAUUAUAAAUAUGUAGCAUUUAUGUUGCAUUUUUUAUGUAUACGGCUGCAUAAUUUACGGAUAUUUUUUCUUAUAGAACUUUAUAUAAAUUAUAACGAUUAUCAAUUAACAAUCAAUUCAGAACUGGCACGGACUUGGGGAAUCCGACUGUCUAAUUAAAACAAAGCAUUGUGAUGGACUUAACAGUUGUUGACACAAUGUGAUUUCUGCCCAGUGCUCUGAAUGUCACCGUGGAGAGAUUCAACAAAGCGCGGGUAAACGGCGGGAGUAACUAUGACUCUCUUAAGGUAGCCAAAUGCCUCGUCAUCUAAUUAGUGACGCGCAUGAAUGGAUUAACGAGAUUCCUACUGUCCCUAUCUACUAUCUAGCGAAACCACAGCCAAGGGAACGGGCUUGGAAUAAUUAGCGGGGAAAGAAGACCCUUUUGAGCUUGACUCUAAUCUGGCAGUGUAAGGAGACAUAAGAGGUGUAGAAUAAGUGGGAGAUAAUUUAAUUAUUUUAUAAUUGUUUUAUCGACAAUGAAAUACCACUACUUUUAUUGUUUCCUUACUUACUUGAUCGAAUGGAACGUGCAUCAUAAUUUAGCCAUUAUACGGAUAUAUUCUUAUAUAUAUCUUAUGGUAUUGGAUUUUGAUGCAAGCUUCUUGAUCAAAAUAUCAAGAGUUUGUUAUAUAAUUGCAAACAAAUUUAUUCAAAUUCCAAAUUUAUGUACGCCGUUAGGGAUUAUAUAAUGUUGUUAUUGAUAAUAAUCGGAUGUGCUGCGUUGCGCGUGCAUGCGCUACUUGUAGUGUGUGUGCUGCGUGUGCGUUGUAUGUCUGUUAUUUGAUUUGCAAUUUUUAUGUAAUUUUCGAAGCGUCAACGUACAUACAAUUUGAUUUGAUAAAUUUGGUAUAACUACCAUGGCUCAGAUAUGAUCCAAUUCAAGGACAUUGCCAGGUAGGGAGUUUGACUGGGGCGGUACAUCUCUCAAAUAAUAACGGAGGUGUCCCAAGGCCAGCUCAGUGCGGACAGAAACCACACAUAGAGCAAAAGGGCAAAAGCUGACUUGAUCUCUGUGUUCAGUACAUGCAGGGACAGCAAAAGCUCGGCCUAUCGAUCCUCUUAGCUUAAAGAGUUUUUAACAAGAGGUGUCAGAAAAGUUACCAUAGGGAUAACUGGCUUGUGGCGGCCAAGCGUUCAUAGCGACGUCGCUUUUUGAUCCUUCGAUGUCGGCUCUUCCUAUCAUUGUGAAGCAAAAUUCACCAAGCGUUGGAUUGUUCACCCAUGCAAGGGAACGUGAGCUGGGUUUAGACCGUCGUGAGACAGGUUAGUUUUACCCUACUAAUGACAAACGUUGUUGCGACAGCAUUCCUGCGUAGUACGAGAGGAACCGCAGGUACGGACCAAUGGCACAAUACUUGUUCGAGAGAACAUUGGUAUGACGCUACGUCCGUUGGAUUAUGCCUGAACGCCUCUAAGGUCGUAUCCGUGCUGGACUGCAAUGAUAAAAAUGGGGCAAUUGCAUUGUAUGGCUAUUAAAACCAUUAAAAGUUUAUAAUAAUUUAUUAUUAUAAACGACUUGGAUUUUUGAUGCCAAUGUUAUUGGUUAACAUAGUAAGUUAGGAGGAUUACGAAUCACUUGACGCCAUGCUAGUUACCAAUUAAAACAUUAUUUAAUACAAUGACAAAGCCUAGAAUCGAUUGUAAACGACUUUUGUUGCAGGCAAGGUGUUGUAAGUGGUUGAGCAGCUGCCAUA
rnacentral:rRNA from 1 species